rnacentral:rRNA from 1 species
GAGGAGACGCUGGCGGCGUGGAUUAGGCAUGCAAGUCGAACGGUAUCAUCCUUUCGGGGGUGAGAGAGUGGCGAACUGGUGAGUAACACGUAGGUUAUCUACCCUCAAGACGGGGACAACCCAGGGAAACUUGGGCUAAUACCGGAUGUGAGCAACUUUUAGUUGUUUGAAAGGUGGCGUAAGCUGUCGCUUGGGGAUGAGCCUGCGUCCUAUUAGUUAGUUGGUGAGGUAACGGCUCACCUAGGCAAUGAUAGGUAGGCGGCCUUAACGGGUGGUCGCCCACACUGGGAUUGAGAUACGGCCCAGACUCCUACGGGAGGCAGCAGUCGAGAAUAGUCUACAAUGGUCGGAAGACUGAUAGUGCGACGCCGCGUGAACGAUGAAUCCCUUCGGGGUGUAAAGUUCUUUUAUAUGUGAGCAGUGCUUUCUAUGUGAACAGCAUGGGGAGAGAGAUAUUAGCAUAUGAAUAAGCAACGGCUAACUCCGUG